rfam:Triticum aestivum genome assembly, contig: Triticum_aestivum_CS42_TGACv1_scaffold_502926_6BL
UUUGUACUCCCUCUGUCCCAAAAUUCUUGUCUUAUAUUUGUCUAAAUACAGAUGUAUCUAGUUACAUUUUAGUGUUAGAUACAUCCGUAUCUAAACCAAUGUAAGACAAGAAUUUUGGGACGGAGGGAAUACUAC